rnacentral:rRNA from 1 species
AUUGAACGCUGGCGGCAGGCCUAACACAUGCAAGUCGAGCGAGCGGCGGACGGGUGAGUAAUGUAUGGGGAACUGCCCGAUAUCGGGGGAUAACUACUGGAAACGGUGGCUAAUACCGCAUACUAUCGGAUGUACCCAUAUGGGAUUAGCUAGUUGGUGGGGUAACGGCUCACCUAGGCGACGAUCCCUAGCUGGUCUGAGAGGAUGAUCAGCCACACUGGAACGGAGACACGGCCCAGACUCCUACGGGAGGCAGCAGUGGGGAAUAUUGCACAAUGGGCGCAAGCCUGAUGCAGCCAUGCCGCGUGUAUGAAGAAGGCCUUAGGGUUGUAAAGUACUUUCAGCGGGGAGGCGUUACCCGCAGAAGAAGCACCGGCUAACUCCGUGCCAGCAGCCGCGGUAAUAC